UACGAAGGGUGCAAGCGUUGUUCGGAAUCAUUGGGCGUAAAGCGCGCGCAGGCGGAUUUGCAAGUCGGAUGUGAAAUCUCAGGGCUCAACCCUGAAACUGCGUCUGAAACUGCAAGUCUAGAAUGUCGGAGGGGGUAGGGGAAUUUCACGUGUAGGGGUAAAAUCCGUAGAGAUGUGAAGGAACACCGGAGGCGAAGGCGCCUACCUGGACGACUAUUGACGCUGAGGCGCGAAAGCGUGGGGAGCAAACAGG
rnacentral:rRNA from 1 species